rfam:Haladaptatus sp. R4 NODE_3_length_529312_cov_26.7524_ID_1029, whole genome shotgun sequence.
UAGGGAACGGCACAGCCGCAAAUCCGACGCGUCGUGAGAUUUCACGGCUUGGGAUUGCGGACGUGC